AGCAGCCGCGGUAAUUCCAGCUCCAAUAGCGUAUAUUAAAGUUGUUGCAGUUAAAAAGCUCGUAGUUGAAUUUCGGGAUUGGCGCAUCGGUCGUGCCUCACGGGGUAUGAACUGGUGCAGUCAAUUUCUCACCUUCUGGAGAACCGCGAUGUCCUUAAUUGGAUGCCGCGGGGAACCAGGACCUUUACUUUGAAAAAUUAGAGUGUUUAAAGCAGGCAUUUUUGCUUGAAUACAUUAGCAUGGAAUAAUAAAAUAGGACGGCAUGGUUCUAUUUUGUUGGUUUCUAGGACCACCGUAAUGAUUAAUAGGGAUAGUUGGGGGCAUUAGUAUUCAAUUGUCAGAGGUGAAAUUCUUGGAUUUAUUGAAGACUAACUACUGCGAAAGCAUUUGCCAAGGAUGUUUUCAUUAAUCAAGAACGAAAGUUAGGGGAUCGAAGACGAUCAGAUACCGUCGUAGUCUUA
rnacentral:misc_RNA from 1 species